rnacentral:lncRNA from 1 species
CUGCCCUUUUCUCUCACUCUCUCUAGCAACCCGCCGCCUCCCCCUCCUUUCUGGACUCCUCUCCCCCUCUCCAGCGUCCCUGCAUCGCCAGUCUGCUUCUGUUGUCUCGGCGGAUUGUUGGUCUUGGGGAGAAAAGAUAUCGCGAGUGUUGGAGUUUUGGUGAGAGUUUGUGGAAGAUGGCGCCUGUUGUGACAGGGAAGUUUGGUGGGCGCCCUCAACCACAGCGCCUAACAAGUGAGACACACACACACACACACCACACACACACACACACCACACACACACAUUCAGUAUGCCUUGUUUUAUUCACAGACCGUUCAACAGGGCUUGUUAUGAUUAGGGGUGAGAUGAGGCCAGGAGACUGGUCUCAGCAGUGUUAGGUCUGUGGGUCCUUUGGUCAGUCAGCCUGGAGAGAGCGAGAGAGAGGAGGAUAUUUGUGUGUGCCUGUCAAAUCAAAUCAGAUGUUAUUGGUCACAGACACGUGGUUAGCAGAUGUUAUUGUGAGUGUAGCAAAAUUAUUUUGCUUCUAGAUCCGACAGUGCAGCAAUAUCCAGGUAAUAUUUAAAAAUUCCACAACAAAAUCUGAUAUCUAACACAAUCCACAACCACAUCUGAUAUCUAACACAAUCCACAACGUAUACAUGCCGCUCCAAGGGGAAAAUGGGCGGUUGAGCAUUCUCUGGAACAUACAAGCGUAGUUUUGGAGGGGGCCCUGGCCUCUCCCCCUCUUGAUCUCUCCCCCUCUGCAUUCACCGAACACUUGUUACCGAGGAUUGGGAGAAAGACACUGUGGUGAGUUUAGAGAUGUUGUCUAUGAAAGGUGUGUGCGGCUGUGUGCGUGUGCGGCUGUGUGUGUGUGCGUGUGCGGCUGUGUGUGUGCGGCUGUGUGUGUAUGCGCGGCUGUGUGUGUGUGUGUGUGUGUGCGGCUGUGUCUGUGUUGCGGUUACCCCAUAGCGUGGCCCUGUUGAUUUUAGUUUGGCAGUGACGGGGGCAGCUAAAAGCCAGGAUCCUCCAGGGGCUGCUAAGUCUCGGGUCCUUCAGGGCCCCACUGUCAGCCAGGCUGUUCCACUGUUCAGCUGAUACAAAGCACACUGUAGGCUGCUUGAAAUGCUGCCUGGCUUUGUUGCAGGGGAAACUUCAGAGACACUUGAGACUCAUUCUGAAAAUGAAAAUCUAUAAUAAAUGCUGUGAGAUCUGACUCAAUUUUACACUCACCUGUAGGCUAUAUGAAUGUAGGCCGUAUUUAUUGUCAUGUGAUUUUAAUGAACUAGAAUGUGCCUGACGUCACAAAUUAAGUUGACAUGGGGGGGGGGUCAGUUUCCUCUGACAGGCAAUUCUCAGCCCAUUGUGCCUUAAUGACAUGCUGACUGACGUGAAUGUCUGUUAAUGUUUUCAUUUAACCCACGGGUCCUGGGUUGAGGACGCGUGUCAUGUCCCCUUUGUGAUCCAAAGGGACUCGAGGACUCUUUGUGUUUCCUGUGUGUGUGUACCUUUUUUGACUUUGUGUGUGUUUGCAUGUGUGUGUGCCCGCAUUUGACCCUGUGUGUGUGUGUGUGUGUGUGUGUGCCCCUCCCUGUCCUAGCCCGCUGUUGGUUUUUCUUUUUAUUAACCUUUAUUAACUAGGGCAAGUCAGUUAAG